UGUAAAUGAUGACUAUAGUAUUUGCCAUCUGAGGUACGAUGUGGACAGUAUUAUAUCACCAAGAUCUCUGAUGCA